rnacentral:rRNA from 1 species
AACGAACGCUGGCGGCGUGCCUAACACAUGCAAGUCGUGCGAGAAAGUUCCUUCGGGAGCGAGUAAAGCGGCGCACGGGUGAGUAACACGUAGGUAACCUGCCCCCCAGUCUGGAACAACUAGAGGAAACUCUAGCUAAUGCCGGAUGAGACCACGAUCCCUUCGGGGGUUGCGGCCAAAGAUGGCCUCUACUUGUAAGCUAUCGCUGGAGGGAUGGGCCUGCGGCCAUUAGCUUGUUGGUGAGGUAACGGCUCACCAAGGCUGUGAUGGCUAGCUGGUCUGAGAGGAUGACCAGCCACACUGGGACUGAGACACGGCCCAGACUCCUACGGGAGGCAGCAGUGGGAAU